GUGAAUCAUCGAAUCUUUGAACGCAAAUUGCACUCCCUGGUAUUCCGUGGAGUAUGCCUGUUUGAGGGUCGUUAGAACAUUAAUCGUAGCGUUGCUCUUUGUUUUCUGGGUAAUCGCGUCGGGAUUUGGCCGUCUUUCAAAUAUUUUUUCAUGUCAGUUUUGCUUAAUAUUCAUUCAUCCGGUUCCGUU
rnacentral:misc_RNA from 1 species